UACGUAGGGGGCAAGCGUUGUCCGGAUUUAUUGGGCGUAAAGAGCGUGUAGGCGGCCAUACAGGUCCGUUGUGAAAACUGGAGGCUUAACCUCGAGAUGUCAUCGGAAACCAUUUGGCUAGAGUCCGGAAGAGGAGAGUGGAAUUCCUGGUGUAGCGGUGAAAUGCGCAGAUAUCAGGAAGAACACCAAUGGCGAAAGCAGCUCUCUGGGACGGUACUGACGCU
rnacentral:rRNA from 1 species